rnacentral:rRNA from 1 species
UACGUAGGGGGCGAGCGUUGUCCGAAGUUACUGGGCGUAAAGCGCGCGUAGGCGGCUCUUUAAGUGACUGGUGAAAUCCCCGGGCUCAACCCGGGAGUGUCUGGUCAUACUGGGGAGCUAGAGUGUGGGAGGGGAGAGCGGAACUCCUGGUGUAGCGGUGAUAUGCGUAGAGAUCAGGAAGAACACCCGUGGCGAAGGCGGCUCUCUGGACCAUAACUGACGCUGAGGUGCGAAAGCCAGGGGAGCGAACGGGAUUAGAAACCCUAGUAGUCC